UACGUAGGGCGCAAGCGUUGUCCGGAAUUAUUGGGCGUAAAGAGCUCGUAGGCGGCUUGUCACGUCGGAUGUGAAAGCCCGGGGCUUAACCCCGGGUCUGCAUUCGAUACGGGCAGGCUAGAGUGUGGUAGGGGAGAUCGGAAUUCCUGGUGUAGCGGUGAAAUGCGCAGAUAUCAGGAGGAACACCGGUGGCGAAGGCGGAUCUCUGGGCCAUUACUGACGCUGAGGAGCGAAAGCGUGGGUAGCAAACAGG
rnacentral:rRNA from 1 species